rnacentral:rRNA from 1 species
GAUGAACGCUAGCGGCAGGCCUAAUACAUGCAAGUCGAACGGUAACAGGUAGCAAUACGCUGACGAGUGGCGCACGGGUGAGUAACACGUACACAAUCUGCCUUAUACUGGGGCAUAUCCUCGCGAAAGUGAGAGCAAUUCCCCAUAAUAUAUUUGAAUGGCAUCAUUUGAAUAUUAAAGUUCAGGCGGUAUAAGAUGAGUGUGCGUCUGAUUAGGUAGUUGGUGAGGUAAUGGCUCACCAAGCCUGCGAUCAGUAGCUGGUCUGAGAGGAUGAUCAGUCACACGGACACUGAGACACGGGUCCGACUCCUACGGGAGGCAGCAGUAGGGAAUAUUGGACAAUGGGCGCAAGCCUGAUCCAGCCAUCCCGCGUGAAGGAUGAAGGCCCUCUGGGUCGUAAACUUCUUUUAUCUGGGAAUAAAACUCGUAUUUAUAUGAGCUUGAAGGUACCAGAGG